UCAUAUCUGAACCAGUAUUUAAAUGGGCAGACAAAAAGCACACAUAAUACUUCAAAUAAGAGCAACCAGAUCCUUACAAGUGUAAUACAGUGGCAAUCACAGUAAUGACUACAAGUGUAAUACAGUACUUUACAAGCUUUACAAGCAAUCACAAACUGGCACCUGCUCCCGUCAUGAACAUGCCAAACUUACAACAUGCCAAACUCGUUGGACUACCAUAGUGAUAUGAACAACAUGCCGAACUAGCUGGACAACCGUAGUUAGGGCUGGGAACAAACAGAACGGCCUUCAAGAAAACAGACAACAUGCCUUCCUCGGUCGCCCUUUAACAUGAAUCAAUAGAGAAGAAUCAAAAAAACUGGGGCAAAUAUAUUAUGAACAGACCAUUCAAGAAAAGGAUAGUUAUUUAGAAUGAUAACACAAAUUGAGGUAGUACCAUGCUUUUUGUUCUCCAGCUAGUUAAAAUGAGAUGCUCGUUCAUACAAGAAAGGUGACUCGUGAACAUAGAGCAUUCUACUCGGUUCUUAUAAGCUUAUUCUUAUGCCUGAAGCAAGUAAGGAAAUCUGACCAAAUAAGCAACACCUCCAUAAACUGAUCGUGAUUAAAUGGAGCAGAGGAAGGAAAGGAGGUCACCAUGGCUGUUUUUGUAGCCGAUGCCGAAAAACACAGCUGCCACCACCGUUGCAUGGAAGCAGCAGAAAAGAGGAGCCUGGCAUGACGAACCCCUUGUACCGAAUCAAAUCAUGCUGCACAAGAAGGACAAGAGAAAUAAGAAGAUAAUCUUGAGGUCAAAUCGAAAAUCAGAAAAAUAAAUCAUGGACUCAAGCACAUUCAUACAUAUACUUUAAGUUGUUAAACAGAAUCAUAGAAUGCCAUCACGUAAUCCAAAAAAUUUGAACAUAUAUAUAUGCAUGCUUGUCAAAGUUUCAUUCCAGAGAAUUAAAGUGCUGGGUAAGAAGCCUGAUGUACAAUUGAUACAAGUUAAUACAAGCAUGAUGUACUACUCUGGGUAAGAAGAAGCAGGGUUAAAAUGGAAGCGUCGCUGCUGGGUUAUAUUAAUAAAUAAUCUAAGUGUUGCAACACCCAACAAGAUUUGCAUGAACAGGUAAAAGCUAGCAAGUACUUGUACUGGGAUGUUGUCCAUCAAACAGAGACAACAAACCAGCUUAUCACAAGACUGAUGCUGGACUCCAUUGCCGGAAUCUACAGCUAGGCACUCAAGCUUAAGGGGAUCCUCAUGUGGAUCGAGCCUGCAUGUUAAUCUUUACACUAGCAGGGCCAUUUCUGUUCUCUUUCUUUCUUUGACACCAGUGUCAUGUACUAUACUCAACUGUACUGCAAGUGCCAUGUGCUACUGCAGUUUAGUUGAGUUUUAAGACUAGAACAUGUUCUUGUAACCUUUGCAACUGAAGACACAGAAUAACUAAGUGGAUCAGCAUGAAUGAACAAGCUAAAGGGUCAGUGUCUAAUGUCAGAAUCUAGGGCUCAAGAGGAUCCUGUGUGGAUCAAGCCAAAGUGUUAAGGCUACCUUUUACAUCAGUGUCAUGUGCUAUAUUCAAACUGUGCUGCAGCUUAGUUGACUUGCAAGUAGGACUACAGUGAAGAUGCUAUUCUAACUUCUGUACUGAAGAAAAAGACACCAUCUGUACAUCAUGUUAAACAUUAGUACACAGCGCUGACGCUACUAUACAACCACGAAUUAAAUCAUUGGACACCGAGGCCGGAAUGGCGCUAGAGUGGACCAAGCAGUGAAACUGGGACAGAUUGGAUGAUUUUACCCUCGAGUAAUCUAAGCAGCUAGAACUGACGUCCUCCUUGACACCCGCAGCACCUCGGCGUACCAUGGUGAUGGCCUGCACAAACCCCCUGCAUGGAUCAGAUCAGAUCUAAUCAAGAAGAAGCAGAGGAGCGGAGGGGAGGGGAGGAGGGACGAGCAAUCAGUGCAUCAACAAAAUAUGGAACAUCAAGCACAGCAUGACAACUAGAGUAUAUGUAUUGCUGGCUCUUAUUAGUCCACAACCGACUGGAUUUUCAACCAUACUGUAACUAUCACUCCAUCCAUUAUUUAAACUACAAAAACGUCUUUAUAUUGAGAAACAUAGGUACUGGUUGCAUAUAUAGACUAGUAGCAGUACUAUGUGUGGCAGUUUUAACAAGUCAAAUAAUUUUACUGUAGACAAGUUGCAUAUAUAGACUAGUAGUAGUACUGUAAUCUAACCGUGGCUAAAGCAUACAAGAAACAUAUUGCAGUGUACUCUAGCCCAAACGAAUUCCCACCCAUGCCUUGUUUCAGAUUAGACACUUUCUUACAACUGAAUUCCAGAUACAAUUGGUUUAAGAUCCAUGUGUACUAAUUAAGAAAGAGGCGACAAGUAGCCAUUGCAUGUGACGGCAGGCAGACAGGAAAUGGUUAGGAAGAAGAGGAGCAGUGGAGCACUGACUGGUCCAUUGGAGACCCUGGUCUUGUCCUUCUUGAAGACGACCCCGAAUCCCCGAUGCACUCACUGUCGACCACAUUGGAGGCACUAA
rnacentral:lncRNA from 1 species